rnacentral:rRNA from 1 species
GACGAACGCUGGCGGCGUGCCUAAUACAUGCAAGUUGAGCGCUGAAGGUUGGUACUUGUACCAACUGGAUGAGCAGCGAACGGGUGAGUAACGCGUGGCGAAUCUGCCUUUGAGCGGGGGACAACAUUUGGAAACGAAUGCUAAUACCGCAUAAAAACUUUAAACACAAGUUUUAAGUUUGAAAGAUGCAAUUGCAUCACUCAAAGAUGAUCCCGCGUUGUAUUAGCUAGUUGGUGAGGUAAAGGCUCACCAAGGCGAUGAUACAUAGCCGACCUGAGAGGGUGAUCGGCCACAUUGGGACUGAGACACGGCCCAAACUCCUACGGGAGGCAGCAGUAGGGAAUCUUCGGCAAUGGACGAAAGUCUGACCGAGCAACGCCGCGUGAGUGAAGAAGGUUUUCGGAUCGUAAAACUCUGUUGGUAGAGAAGAACGUUGGUGAGAGUGGAAAGCUCAUCAAGUGACGGUAACUACCCAGAAAGGGACGGCUAACUACGUG